UACGUAGGGUGCAAGCGUUAAUCGGAAUUACUGGGCGUAAAGCGUGCGCAGGCGGGUCCAUAAGACAGAUGUGAAAUCCCCGGGCUCAACCUGGGAACUGCAUUUGUGACUGUGGGGCUAGAGUACGGUAGAGGGGGAGGUAAUUCCGCGUGUAGCAGUGAAAUGCGGAGAUAUGCGGAGGAACACCAAUGGCGAAGGCUAUCCCCUGGACCUGUACUGACGCUCAUGCACGAAAGCGUGGGGAGCAAACAGG
rnacentral:rRNA from 1 species